rnacentral:rRNA from 1 species
UACAGAGGGUGCGAGCGUUGUCCGGAAUUACUGGGCGUAAAGCGCGCGUAGGCGGCUUUGCAAGUCGGGUGUGAAAUCCCCAGGCUUAACCUGGGAACUGCAUUCGAGACUGCAUUGCUAGAGUAUGGGAGAGGGAAGUGGAAUUUCCGGUGUAGCGGUGAAAUGCGUAGAUAUCGGAAGGAACAUCAGUGGCGAAAGCGACUUCCUGGACCAAUACUGACGCUCAUGUGCGAAAGCGUGGGGAGCAAACAGG